GGGGCGUGGCGAAAUUGGUAGACGCACUGGAUUUAGGUUCCAGCGCCGCAAGGUGUAAGAGUUCGAGUCUCUU
rnacentral:tRNA from 1 species